UUGUCGGUUUAGUUAGUUUUUUCAAAUUCUAAAAUUUGAAGUCAAAACUAAAUUAACCCCCCCCUUUUUUAAUUUCGUAACCAAAAUUAUCCAACAAAUUCAAAAAAUUGUUUAGUUCAAUUAAUUUUAUAUUAAUUUCUACGGAUUAUUUUGGUCGUUCUCAUUAAUCAUACGCGUCCCUUGAAAAUUAAGUUAGGAUGUAAUCAUGAACAAGAUGGGGAGCAAGAACACCUGAUUAAUUGAAUCCUCUCGGUUUGAGUAACCAUAAAAAGUCAGCAUUACAUCACAUGAAGCAAAAGACAAGUGGAUCGGUUGAUUCGUUGAAGAGAGGCACCUUUUCCCAUCACCGUCUCCAUCAUCACUUUUCAUUUAAGAUCGCUUUUCCUUGCAAGGCAUCGCAUAUAAUAAUACAGUCUGGAGGACUGUUAAACGAUUUUGUUUGGAUGGAGAGAAAUAAAUAAGCAUAGUUAUGCAGCACCAAGAUGAUCUCAGAGUUAAUCCCAAGGGAUAUACAUGAUGAGGCGGUGGCAAAGGAAGGACAAUGUUUUCUCCUUCUAUUUUAUUGCUGGGAAAAGUUUGGUGAGGUGAGUAAAUGUGUGAAGAUGGAAGGUCGGGCGGUCUUCAGUAAGAAGAGUAAAGGAUGCCUGCUAUCAUCACUUCCACAGUCAGACAAAGAUUCCCCAUUCAUACUCCUAGCUAGCGUGCAUGCUUUUUCUAUAUAUUUACUGCCCUGUACUACUACUGUUACUUUCACAAUUCCAUUUUCCCCUUGCUCCACAUCCCCUGCAGGAACAACACAUACUGUACAUUCUCUUUACAGGCAUUUCAUGAAAAUUGCAGACAUGUCAAUGAAUAUAUAUCUGUGGUCUAGAUAUAACAAUAUUUUUCUGUUUUAAUU